UGGUUGUCGUCAGCUCGUGUCGUGAGAUGUUGGGUUAAGUCCCGCAACGAGCGCAACCCUUAUUGUUAGUUGCUACGCAAGAGCACUCUAGCGAGACUGCCGUUGACAAAACGGAGGAAGGUGGGGACGACGUCAAAUCAUCAUGCCCCUUAUGUCCUGGGCCACACACGUACUACAAUGGUGGUCAACAGAGGGAAGCAAUACCGCGAGGUGGAGCAAAUCCCUAAAAGCCAUCCCAGUUCGGAUCGCAGGCUGCAACCCGCCUGCGUGAAGUUGGAAUCGCUAGUAAUCGCGGAUCAGCAUGCCGCGGUGAAUACGUUCCCGGGCCUUGUACACACCGCCCGUCACACCAUGAGAGUCGGGAACACCCGAAGUCCGUAGCCUAACCGCAAGGGGGGCGCGGCCGAAGGUGGGUUCGAUAAUUGAGGUGAAGUCGUAACAAGGUAGCCGUAUCGGAAGGUGCGGUUGGAUCACCUC
rnacentral:rRNA from 1 species